GCUAGUGUGGCUCAGGGGUAGAGCAGCUGAUUCGUAAUCAGCAGGUCAAGGGUUCGAAUCCCUUCACUAGCU
rnacentral:tRNA from 2 species